GUCCACGCCGUAAACGAUGAGUGCUAGGUGUCACGGGCUUUGACCCUCGUGGUGCCGAAGCUAACGCGUUAAGCACUCCGCCUGGGGAGUACGGUCGCAAGACUAAAACUCAAAGGAAUUGACGGGGGCCCGCACAAGCGGCGGAGCAUGCGGAUUAAUUCGAUGCAACGCGAAGAACCUUACCUGGGGUUUGACAUACACCGGAAAGCCUUAGAGAUAAGGCCCCUUUUGCGGUGUACAGGUGGUGCAUGGCUGUCGU
rnacentral:rRNA from 1 species